rnacentral:lncRNA from 1 species
UAAUCUUGUCGACCAGUGGUUGCCAUUGGAAAACAGACAGCUGCUUGGUAGAUAGUGGUACACCCAAGUAUUUAAAAGGUAGUUCUCCAUGUACAUAUCCAAGAUGAUCAAUAAUUUGCUGUUGCUCUUCAGGCUUUACCCCCCAAAGUAAACACCAAUCUUAUGCAAAUUGGCUUUCAUACCAGAGGCUGCAGUGAAAUGAGAGAAAUAUGUAAACAUGGUACGUACAGACUGAGCUUCUCCUUUGACAAACAGCAAGAGGUCAUCAGCGAAGCUUAGAUGAGUAAUUCCUAGUUUUUUACAACCAGGAUGAAAUGUGAAAUCUUUUGCUUGCCUCAGUUCUUCCAGUGAUCGACUUAGGUAUUCCAUCACAAUAGCAAAUAAGAAUGGAGAUAUG